AGUGAACGCUGGCGGUAGGCCUAACACAUGCAAGUCGAACGGCAGCACAGUAAGAGCUUGCUCUUACGGGUGGCGAGUGGCGGACGGGUGAGGCAUACAUAGGAAUCUACUUUUUCGUGGGGGAUAACGUAGGGAAACUUACGCUAAUACCGCAUACGACCUACGGGUGAAAGCAGGGGAUCUACGGACCUUGCGCGAUUGAUUGAGCCGAUGUCGGAUUAGCUAGUUGGCGGGGUAAAGGCACACCAAGGCGACGAUCCGUAGCUGGUCUGAGAGGAUGAUCAGCCACACUGGAACUGAGACACGGUCCAGACUCCUACGGGAGGCAGCAGUGGGGAAUAUUGGACAAUGGGCGCAAGCCUGAUCCAGCCAUACCGCGUGGGUGAAGAAGGCCUUCGGGUUGUAAAGCCCUUUUGUUGGGAAAGAAAAGCAGCAGGUUAAUACCCCGCUGUUCUGACGGUACCCAAAGAAUAAGCACCGGCUAACUUCGUG
rnacentral:rRNA from 1 species